rnacentral:lncRNA from 1 species
AGUCAUUUGAAUNNNNNNNNNNUAUUCCUUUGGGUAUAUACCCAGUAAUGGGAUUGCUGGGUCAAGUGGUAUUUCUGGUUCUAGAUCCUUGAGAUGUUUAACUUCCUUGUAAAUUCUGGACAUUACACCUUUGUCAAAUGGGUAGAUUGCAAAAAUUUUCUCCCAUUCUGUAAGUUGCCUGUUCACUCUGAUGGCAGCUUCUUUUGCUGUGCAGAAGCUCUUCAGUUUAAUUAGAUCCCAUUUGUCAAAUUUGGCUUUUGUUGCAAUUGCUUUUGGCAUUUUUGUCAUGAAGUCUUUGCCCAUGCCCAUGUCCUGAAUGGUACUGCCUAGGUUU